rnacentral:rRNA from 1 species
AGCACUUCGGUGUGAGUAGAGUGGCGGACGGGUGAGUAACGCGUGGGAAUCUACCCAGUAGUGGGGGACAACUACCGGAAACGGUAGCUAAUACCGCAUACGCCCUAUGGGGGAAAGGCUUCGGCCGCUAUUGGAUGAGCCCGCGUCAGAUUAGCUAGUUGGUAGGGUAAAGGCCUACCAAGGCAACGAUCUGUAGCUGGUCUGAGAGGACGAACAGCCACACUGGGACUGAGACACGGCCCAGACUCCUACGGGAGGCAGCAGUGGGGAAUAUUGGACAAUGGGCGAAAGCCUGAUCCAGCAAUGCCGCGUGUGUGAAGAAGGCCUGCGGGUUGUAAAGCACUUUCAGUUGGGAAGAUGAUGACGUUACCAACAGAAGAAGCACCGGCUAAAUCCGUGCCAGCAGCCGCGGUAAUACGGAUGGUGCGAGCGUUAAUCGGAAUUACUGGGCGUAAAGCGCGCGUAGGCGGCUAAGUCAGUCAGAAGUGAAAGCCCCGGGCUCAACCUGGGAAUUGCUUUUGAUACUGCUUAGCUAGAGUUUGGUAGAGGAUAGUGGAAUUCCAGGUGUAGCGGUGAAAUGCGUAGAUAUCUGGAGGAACAUCAGUGGCGAAGGCGACUGUCUGGACCAAAACUGACGCUGAGGUGCGAAAGCGUGGGUAGCAAACAGGAUUAGAUACCCUGGUAG